AGGGACAUAUUAUGCAAAACCAACUUUUUAAUCAUUUGAUUAUGUACAUUUGGGACUCUGGAGGGCCUAUCAGCAGGCAAAGUAUGAAAAAAAAUGACUCAGUCAUGUUUUUGUGGGCUGCCUCAGUCAGAACAUAGGAGAGAAAUCACGCAGGUUCAGAAGUGUGUAGUUUGUGAUGUCACAUGCUCUGCCUGUUGCCACCCACCUCUCUUUACUUCCUGUUGACUAUCGGAGCUCCGCCAUUGUUACUAUAAAAGGCAAGCUAGCGGAGAACAAGCAAGUCCAGCCUGCAGCCUGCAGCCUAAUGUCUGGGCAAAGGCCUCAGCAGGCAAACUGUUCAGUCAUUGGCUGCACAGCCCAACACAAAUUUACAUAUGUAAAUUUAUGUAAAUGUAUGUAAAUUAUUUUUGACGGCAAUGUCCGGCUAGAGUCACAAAAACCGGAAGGUGUGUGUGAACCUUCGUGUCGGACUGCUUUCACAACCUCGGUCAGUACAACACUGGACUGACUGAAAGACUGUUCCUGAAAGAGGGAUUGUACCAACUGUCUGUGGAGAGACGGCAGAGGAAAUAACUGUGACCUGAUGAAGCUCAGGUGUUCCUGGACCCAUCAGAGGACAGAGACAGCUGCAGCAUCAGGACAGUCUGGGUAUCCAAAGGAAGACUGAUGAAGAUGAACACUGACUGCAGAGCUCCAUUACCAGCUCACACUUCAAUAUACUAGAAACCAUAAACCUUGAUGGAGAACAUGAUCUGCACAGUUUACAUAAAAGUUAUAGCUUUGUUACUUACAACUUGUGUAACUGGAAUAUGAAUGAAAUAUUAAUAAUGUGUUUUACUUUUAAGAAGAGUUUUGGUCAUUUUUAAAUUCAGUAAUAAUUGUGGUUUUAUAUAAAUAACAUGUUAUUUCACAAAGGUUUUAUGAAGAUUUCCUGGAUGUACAAGAGUUGAAAACCUGAUUCGUGUAACAUCUAUCAAUAUGAAAAUGUGGAACUUAAACCUGUAUUAAUGACUGUAAGCAACACAAUACAUUACUGUCUCACAUUCAAACUUUAUUACAUUGGAAGAUAAAUGACAUCAUAAUACAGUAUAUAAUAUAAA